CGUUGAAAAGAUAAAAAUAUACCUAUUCAUUACCAAGAUGUCGAUCUAAAAAAGUUAAUCGGCAUUAAACAAAAGGACAAAAAUGACAGAGAAGUAUUGUUCAUCCGAGCUUCCUCAUUUUUAAUUGAAGAAAUACGUGCACGGAAAUAUGCGUUGAUAACUACGUUGAUAUGAUUCUUAUAUUACUCAAAUGGAUAUAUCAUAAUCAUUUAUUUACGUGUUGGAGGACUUUUCUAGCCACGACCUAG